GCACGGAGCCGAUGGCUGGAACACGGACCCUGGAUCGAAGCCUCCUGUGGUACUCGGCACUGCUCACCGUCCUGCUGGUCUUCACCAACCUGGCGCUCGGCUUAUACUUCCGCAGGCUCGGACUUCAGGUAAGGGCACGGCGCUGUUGUCUGGGGCGAGUGGGACGACGCCGAGAUUGCGCUGCGCUGUAGAGGACCACACACACUCUCGCAUAGGCGGUCCCUCCUCCCACUUCGGAGCCGAGAGGCCAUGCAAGAUAUUCUGUCACACAUGCCUGCCGAAUUAAUUAAACGCCGACUUAAUCGAAUCCCUUCUGCGAUACGGGACUCUUAUUACACCCGUCCACACGGCCGCGAGGUUUGCUGAUGUUAUUUGGGGGAGUUUAAACGAGUUUUGCAGGGGACUGGGAACCGGAGCCCUGGUCGGGAAGGGAAGGAUCGGACCAGAAGUGCUUCCACUUCCCACCACUGAGGCCGGCAAACUGCAGUCAUGAGUUCCCCCGAAGCCCGAUCCGGAUCACAGACACACAAGAAGGAGAUCUCAUUGGAAAGCCGGCAGCUCAUCUCACAGGAUAUUCGUGGACGAGUUCAGAAACAUCCCCGGACCCUUGCACCUGGGAGGCAAACUACCAUCCAUGUUUCCUAUUUGCAUCCACAGAAUCACCUGUCUGUCCCCCAAACUAUACACUCCCCUAUUACUGCUGCUGUUCUCUUCUGUUUCUUGGCCGUCUGAGCCCUUCAAAGGAGAUGCUGGCAGGGAUGGCAGAAGAGUAGUGAUGGCUUGAGUUUCUGGGGAGAAUGAGGAAGGUGCAAGGUGAGGAAGGUGCAGGGUGAGGAAGGUGCAAGGUGAGGAAGGUGCAAGGUGAGGAAGGUGCAAGGUGAGGAAGGUGCAGGGUGAGGAAGGUGCAGGGCGAGGAAGGUGCAGGGCGAGGAAGGUGCAAGGUGAGGAAGGUGCAGGGUGAGGAAGGUGCAGGGUGAGGAAGGUGCAGGGUGAGGAAGGUGCAAGGUGAGGAAGGUGUAGGGUGAGGAAGGUGCAAGGUGAGGAAGGUGCAAGAUGAGGAAGGUGCAAGAUGAGGAAGGUGCAGGGUGAGGAAGGUGCAGGGUGAGGAAGGUGCAGGGUGAGGAAGGUGCAGGGUGAGGAAGGUGCAGGGUGAGGAAGGUGCAAGGUGAGGAAGGUGCAAGAUGAGGAAGGUUUUUCUGGGGAGAAUGAGGAAGGUGCAAGGUGAGGAAGGCUUUUUCGAGCAGCUUAUGCUUUAGCCUACUGAGGGAAAAUAUAUCUUAGAUUUUAUUAGGGAUUUUGUUAAUGUAAGAAAAUGAAGAAGUAAUCAAAUUGCAAAAUAGUACAACCGUGGCUGACAAGGAAAGUCUAAGCUAAUGAAAAAGCAAGAGAGAGGGUGUACAGCAAAGUAAAAAUCAGUGGGAAGAUACAGGAUUGGGAAGCUUUUGAAAACCUACAGAAAGCAAGUAAAAGAAUUGUUAGGAGAUGAAAUUAGAAAGCAAGCUAGAAAAAAAUAUCAAGGUGGAUAGAAAAGUCUUUUUCAAGUAUACAACAAAAAGAGAGAUGAGAGGGGAUGUAAGACCGCUAGAAAAUGAGGCUGGAGAAGUAACGGGGUUAAGAAAAUGGUAGAUGAACUAAGUGAGUAUUUUGUAUCAGUCUUCAUUGUGAAAGACACGAGCAGUGUGCCAGAUUAUGAAGGGUGUGAGGUAAGAGAAGUGGGUGCAGUUACUAUUACUAUUCAAUUACUAUUGAAGGUGAUCAAAAAAGCUGAAAAACCUAAAGGUAAAUAAACUACCUGGACCAGGUGGACUGCACUCUAGGGUUCUGAAAGAGGUCGCAGUAAAGUUGUGGAGGCAUUAGUAAUGAUCUUUCAAGAGUCAUGGGAUUUUGCAUGGUUCCAGAGGCCUGGAAAAUUGCAAAUGUCACUCCACUCUUUAAGAAAGGAGGAAGGCAGCAGAGAGGAAAUGACAGACCAGUUAGCCUGACCUCAGUGGUUGGGAAGACGUUGGAGUCAGUUGUUAUGGAUGAAGUUAUGGAGUACUCGGUGAUACAAGACAAGACCGGAUAAAGUCAGCAUGGUUUCCUUAAGGGAAAAUCUUGCCUGACAAAUUUGUUGGAAUUUUUUGAGGAGAAUACAAGUAGGGCAGAUAAAAGGGAUGUGGUGGAUGUUGUAUAUUUAGAUUUUCAGAAGGCCUUUGACAAGGUGCCGCAUAUGAGGCUGCUUCCCAAGUUAAGAACCCAUGUUAUUACAGGAAAUUUACUAGCUGAUUAGUAGGAGACAGUGAGUGGGAAUAAAAGGAUCCUUUUCAGCGACUCGUGGUGUUCUACAGGGGUCGGUGCUGGGGCCACUUCUUUUUAUGCUGUAUAUCAAUGAUUUAGAUGAUGGAAUAGAUGGCUUUCUUCCCAAGUAUGCAGAUGAUACGAAGAUUGGUGGAGGGGCAGUUAGUGUUGAAGGAACAUGUAGGCUGUAGAAGGACUUAGAUUAGGAAAAUGGGCAAGAAAGUGGCAAAUGAAAUAUUGUGUUGAAAAAUACAUGAUGAUGCAGUUUGGUAGUCAAAUUAAAUGUGCAGCUAGUUUUUAAAUGGUGGGGGGGGAAUCCAAAAAUCUGAGAUGCAAAGGUAUCCAUGCAGAAUGCCUUAAAAGUUAACUUGCAAAUAGAAUCGGUGGUGAGGAAGGCAAAUGCAAUGUUGGCAUUCAUUUCAAGAGGUGAAGAAUACAAGAGCAGGGAUGUGAUGCUGAGGCUUUAUAAGACACUGGUGAGGCCUCACCUUGAGUAUUGUGAACAGUUUUGGGCUCCUUAUUUAUGAAAGGAUGUGCUGGUGCUGAAGAGGGUUCAGAGGAGGUUCACAAGGAUGAUUCCAGAAGUUAAAGGGUUAUCAUAUGAGGAACGUUUGAUGGCUCUGGGCCUGUACUCACUGGAAUGUAGAAGGAUGAGGGGUGGUGGUAUCUCAUUGAAACCUUUGGAAUAUUGUAAGGCCUAGAUGUGAGAAGAAUGUUUCCCAUGGUAUGGAGAGACUAGGCCAAGAAGACUCAGCCUCAGGUUAGAGGGGUGUACAUUUAAAACAGAGAUGCAGAGAAAUUUCUUCAGCCAGAGAGUGGUGAAUUACUACAGGCAGCUCUGGAGCCCUGGUCAGUUGGUAUAUUUAAGGUGGAGAUUGAUAGGUUCUUCUUGAUUGGGCAAGACAUCAAAGGUCACAGGGGGAAGACUGGAAGUCCCACAGCACCAGCUUCAAGAACAGUCCUUUACCUGUCCAGUGUCCUACACCACCAGGUUCAGGGACAGUCCUUUACCUGUCCAGUGUCCUACACCACCAGGUUCAGGGACAGUCCUUUACCUGUCCAGUGUCCUACACCACCAGGUUCAGGAACAGUCCUUUACCUGUCCAGUGUCCUACACCACCAGGUUCAGGGACAGUCCUUUACCUGUCCAGUGUCCUACACCACCAGGUUCAGGGACAGUCCUUUACCUGUCCAGUGUCCCACAGCACCAGCUUCAGGAACAGUCCUUUACCUGUCCAGUGUCCCACAGCACCAGGUUCAGGAACAGUCCUUUACCUGUCCAGUGUCCCACACCACCAGGUUCAGGAACAGUCCUUUACCUGUCCAGUGUCCCACACCACCAGGUUCAGGAACAGUCCUUUACCUGUCCAGUGUCCCACACCACCAGGUUCAGGAACAGUCCUUUACCUGUCCAGUGUCCCACACCACCAGGUUCAGGAACAGUUGCUUCCCUUCAGCCAUUUGCUUCAGGAAAUAACAGCAAUCAGAUCUGUAUUCAGAUUCUGAUUCUGUUAGUUAUUGCAUGUCCAUUCAAACCUGCAGUGAACUGCAUCCUGACGAUGCAUUUAGAUGCUGCCUGGCCUGCUGCGUUCCACCAGCAUCUUGAGUUUGUCGGUGAAAUGCAUCAUUUGCUUUAGCAACCACCACAACAGAAGGAGGCUGCUGGGAGCCGCCUUUGAGUUUUGCCAACACCGCACGCCUGCCGUGUCUGCAGAACAACGCAAGCAUCAACAAACAACAGCAAAGCAAGCUCUUUACCUCUCGACUCACAGAUAUUCUUCUGCUCCACCUCCAGGCCUCCAGCCUGCGGUCGACUCAGGAUGCAGACAUUAGGCCUUCAGGUUUCCUAGUGGACUUGCAGUCCUACAGACCCCGGGCUUCGGGCCUCGACUUCCAGACAUCUGAUUGACCUUCAAGCUCAAGUUUACUCUUCAUUCAAUCAUACACACAUAUACAGCUAAACAAAACAGCAUUCCUUGGAGCCAAGAUGCAAAACACAGUACAUGUCGUCAUACAGUUACGAUAGCACGUGCAGUCGAAUAAUACUAUCAGCAGAAAUCCCUGAGUGGCAUGGCCUGAAGGCUGAUGGUGCAUGGAAUGUUGCCCUGGAGCCAUGUUUCUGCAAGAACACGCAGGCAGCAGCUCCUCAUCUCGUACUGGGUCAGCUGCAGACAGAAACAAUCCAGCUUAGGAAGUGCACACCAGAGAGCAAUGCCGGAGUCAGCCCUCAACCCAGCACAGAUUCUAGCGCACCUCCCACGCCACCCCGGCACCUCCUCCCCGAGUGGCUAUAGCACGCAAUGUCGCGGCAUGAAGGCCUGUUCUGUGCAACAACCGAGGUUACGCAGCUCCCCUGCCAGCAGUGUCACCAAUGAACUGGACUUGCAGUAUUUUACAUUACCAAUGGACUUUGGGCUUUGAUCUGAAAUAUCAACCACACUGUGACCAUUUUCAUCACUUUGCAAAUGGGACUUUUUAAAAUUCUAAUUGUGUUCUUUCUUGUAAAUCUUGUGUCUAAUUUCUGUGAUAAUAAUAUCAAUAACUUUAUUUAUAGAGCACUUUUCAUACAGAUGAUGUCAUACAGUGAUUUACAAUGGAGAAAAGGACAUACUGAUGAUAAUUAAAAAGAAGGUUAAGUAACUAGAUUUUGAGCCAGUGUUUAAAAGUAUCAACUGAUUCAGCAUCCCUUAGAGUUUUAGGUGUUGAAUUCCACAGUUUAGGAGUGUAGUUCAGAAAGCUGCCCUGUCAAUUACCUUUUGAGAGAGAUUGAGAGACCAGCAGAAGACAGAACAGACUUAUAGGACAAAAGCGAAUCGGUGAUGUACUCCAGUUCCAGGUCAUGAUGAUAUUUAAAAACCAGUGGGAGAAGUUUAAAAUCAAUUCUAAAAGACAGGGAAAGCCAGUGCCGAGCAGCUAGUGGAAGACGAGUAUGUUCCAUCCUGUUGAGGUUCGAGCAGCUGCUUUCUGAAUGAGUUGGAGGUUGUCAAUAGAUUGCUUUGGAAGGCCGGUAGAGAUUGUGUUACAGUGAUCUAGUCUAUUGGAUUUAGAUACAUGGAUUUGAUUCUCUGGAUCAUUAUGUACCUUUGCAGUUUUUUCUAAGUGUAGAAAUGCUGCCCUGGUCACUUUCAUUACGUGGGAUUCAUGUUUUUCUUGUGAAUGUUGCAUUGUGCCCGUGAUACUCCUGUAAGUGCGUUUUUCUUAGCAAAAAACUGGACUGUAUUUAGUAACCAGUUAGAAUCACAAUCAGAAUCAGAAAUACGUCAUGAAAUGUUUUGUUUUGCAGUAGCCAGAUAUAAAAUUUCUAAGAAAUAUAAACAUUA